rnacentral:rRNA from 1 species
GACGAACGCUGGCGGCGUGCUUAACACAUGCAAGUCGAACGGAAAGGCCCUGCUUUUGUGGGGUGCUCGAGUGGAGAACGGGUGAGUAACACGUGAGUAACCUGCCCUUGACUUUGGGAUAACUUCAGGAAACUGGGGCUAAUACCGGAUAGGAGCUCCUGCUGCAUGGUGGGGGUUGGAAAGUUUCGGCGGUUGGGGAUGGACUGGCGGCUUAUCAGCUUGUUGGUGGGGUAGUGGCUUACCAAGGCUUUGACGGGUAGCCGGCCUGAGAGGGUGACCGGCCACAUUGGGACUGAGAUACGGCCCAGACUCCUAUGGGAGGCAGCAGUGGGGAAUAUUGCACUAUGGGCGGAAGCCUGAUGCAGCAACGCCGCGUGCGGGAUGACGGCCUUCGGGUUGUAAACCGCUUUCGCCUGUGACGAAGCGUGAGUGACGGUAAUGGGUAAAGAAGCACCGGCUAACUACGUG